rnacentral:tRNA from 1 species
CGCCAACAAGGCCUGGCUGGGCCUGGGGAUCUUCAUGGUCCUGGUGGUGAUCUAUCUCGCCAUCGCCUUCGAGUGGCGGAUGGCGC